rnacentral:lncRNA from 1 species
CUCACGCUGGGCCCUGUGCCUGGAACGCCCUCGUGCCUUCUCUGCCUUCACAGCCCUGCUGGGGGCUUUUGCGUGCUCCCUAGCUCUUCUUACAGGCCUUUCACCGCUGGUUCAGCCUUUGUGGAGCACUUAGAGACCGUGUUCCCAGCACUCCCCACUAUGUGCAGGAGGUGAAGCCUUGAACACACUUGCUGAAGAACGAACAUAAGGCAGGUUCUGGGAUUGACGGGGGCUGCUUUAGAGUGGGUGGUCCCGUAGGCCAGACACUGGAGCUGAAACAUAAAUGAAUUAAAAGGAACCAACUUAGCUUUUCAGUUGUAAGGUGCCAAGGCCCAGGCUUGGAACAAAGUCAAGCACAAUACACUAGUUCGCUGCAGGACUUAACAUCCUGGGUGAUAGUGACUGAUUUGUAACCGCAGUACCCAGCACAGUGCCUGAUACACAAUGUUUGGAAUAUGUGAAAGCACUCUGUAUACUACAAAACAUCCUUUCCCAGUGGGUUUAUUUCCUGGGCCACACACCUUUUGGUUGCUAGGGGGGUGAUAACUAGAAGACGGUCGCCCAACUCCGGAGGGUGAAGCAUAGCGCCUGAAGCCAGAGGGCCUACACGGCAUCUGUAAAAUUCCACCCCAUUUCAGCGCUGGGGUUGUAAACAAAAUUAGUCUCACCCCAAAAUUGCCAAAAGAAGACAGCUUUUUCCACUAGAAGAAACGGGUUAGGGAAUAGAAUCAGGAACCUUCACUCGUUGAGUUUUUUUGACUGAUGUUAGCUGCUUAGGGUUGUAUCCAGUUAAUCAUCAAGACUGGAGAGUUGUCUUGCUAAGGUUUAGGAAGACCAGUGUGAUUCUGUCCAGAUGCCACACUAUCACUAUCUAGAGGUGUGACCUUGGGUAAGUCAACCUUUUUGGACUUUGGUCUGGGUCAGAAGGCUGCAAGGUGCCAUCUGGGGGCAGCUAUCUGCAAAGCCUCUGCUCUGCGCCCGGCGCUGUGCGGGGCCGCUCAGUUUUCAGCAGUGUUUUUGUACCGGCAUUUUGCAGGUGGGAAACAAGCUCAGGGAGGUUGCGUGGCUUUGCCCAAGGUCCCUCAGGUGUGGCUGCUCUCCCUAGCCCCUGUACUCCUCACCAUACCCUGCUGAAUAUGGCCACAGCUUUUUGGGUUUGGAAUCCAAAAAUGACAUAUUUUUCGUAAAGCAAAAGCAAACUUAUUCGAGCUUAGGCAGCAUGAUGGGAUUGUAUUUUGUAGCUAAUCUAAUGGAGACGAUAUAAAUUCUACCUGCAAUAAUAUACCUUUGCAGCACAUUCUUUUAAUACUCUUUCAGCCCCAGCUGUGUCAUGGAGGCCACAAAGGCAAACCGGAUGCGUACUUUGCCCCUCAGUAGUUUAUGAACUAACAGGAGAUGAAACAAGACCCAGAUAACUUCUAGUCAAGGCCAGAAAGCUAAAGAUAGUGAAAAAGAACUGAAUGUAUUUAGAGAAAGGGAGAUUGUUCCUGGCUGAGGACAUCAGAAGCAGCUUUGUUGAAGAAGUGGUAUCUGAACUAGAUUUGAAAGGGUGCGUCUGAGUUGAAAAUGCAGAAGGGGAGAGGCAGGUUCUGGGGCGGUUGGGGGUGCAUUUCAACAACCACAGCAGAAGGCCCAGUGUUCGCUGUGGGGGUGGUGUGGAUCAGCAGCACAGACCAAUGGACACACUUGGGUCAGAUCGAGGCCCCUGUCUCUCCCCAUCCUCCCUCUUCCCCACCCCACAGAAAUUUCCAGUUCCAUCCAACAUGCUGUGCCCCUUUUCAUGCAUCCGUGCAUUUACACAUGGAUGUGUGCCCUUUUUCACCUGGCAAAAAUUCCCAGCCUUCAAAAUGCCCCUCAGAGAUCACAGCUUCUGGGCAGCCCACCACCUCUGGGCUGUUCCUGCCUCUUGAUUGCACCUGUUGUACCAUGAUGACAUUUUUCCUGUCUGCCUCACCUGUCUGCAUUCCUUAGGGAAGCUUGUCUGCCUUCAGAAUCAUCAGUGGAGCUUUUGAAAGGGCAGAUCUUGGGGCCUCACCCCAGGAGAUCCGAUUCAGCAGGUCUGCGGGGACUGAGGUAUGGCAGGGGAAACCGCCCCCAUCUCAAGGGUGAGGUUAGGACUUGGCUCCUGUGUAUGUAUUCCACCCAGAAAUACUGAGUUAACAUUAGCUGAAUUAACUAAACAAAGUAUCAAGCAUAAUACCCACAGGGUAAGCCAGUGAGGAUAGAGGAUAAAUACAUUAUUAGUCUGGCUUUGCCGCUGUGGUUAUCCUCAAACAGUAGGGUUUAGUGUAUGUAUGUAUAUGUAUUAUGUUUUUGUUUUGGGGUUUUGUUGAGACAGGGUCUUUCUUUCUCA